GUCUUCCCCUAAAUCACGCACUUUCCCAUUUCCUUUCCUUUUUUGCUCAGAUGUGCGGCCGCUCCAGCUCCCGCUGCGGUGCCCGUCCUCGAUCUUGGCUUGGUGCUCUUCCAUAUCCCCUCCCUCCAUAGACCACUCCGGCGAAUCCUCCGACAACUCACUGCGGACCUCGAUGUCACCGUGCCGUGCGCUCCGAUGGCCGCCUCCGGUCUAUCCCGCUGCCAUAUCCACGAGGCAGAGCAGCUGCGCUCCUCUCCCGGCUCCGGCCACCAGCGCCGGCCCUGCAGCGCGCUAUCGUCCUCUUCACUGCGGCCAUAUGUUUGUCUGAUUCGUUGUGCCAGGCGGGGAAGGAGCAGGUUUUGGAAGGGGAAAAGCAUGCGGCUGGUCUGGGAUACUGACACUCUAAUGGACAGGUUUUCAACUAACCGUUGCAUCUGAAGUUUUGAAUUCUGACACAACUUAGGCAGUCUUGAACAACACUUGCUUACUCUUCUGGUACCAAGAACAUGGUUUUGAUUUUGGAGUGGAACACUUGGUUAAUGAAAACAAGUAAAUCUAUGGCAGUUGCUAUCCAGGAUCAUAGAACUUGACAGGGUAAACCUAAGAUUUUAUUGGUUUUCUACAUAUUACAUUGGCAAAGUCUGAUAUUCAAAUGACAGAUGUCUCGAUUGAGCAAAGUAGUUUGCUCCUUGAUGGUGUCUGGCAAAUUGGUAGCAAGCGUGGAGGAUGGGUGAUUUGACAGUUGGACUUCCGGCGAACAGCAAUUUCGAGGACGGAGGGUGAAAUCGAUUUUGAGCACACAGGGGGGAAAUCGUGUCGAGUAGUCAGAACUUGUGGUGGUGCUUAUGUGUGGCUUAUUCUGUAUGUUUAUAUAGGAGAACCUGAAGAACGAUGUGAUCCUGGUCGAACUUGGUUAGCUGUGUUCGAUCAGGAGACGGUAAGUUUUUUAUAUGGUGGACACGGUCAGCUAUGUGUUAUGGGCCUUCAAAUUUAACCUGAAGAAAGAUGUGCUCCUGGUCGGAACUUGGUCAGUUGUGUUCGAUCAGGAGACGGUAAGAUUUUUUUAUGGUGAACACGGUCAGCUAUGUAUUAUGGGCCUUCAAAUUUA